GCAUCUGCAGGCCUCUGCCUCCUCAGUAAGGCUUAGGUAGAUGCUCAGCUCAUAUCUUCUGUGGGUAUAGCAUCAGUAUGGGACCAGCACUGAGGACAAGGCUUCUGGUUCCAUCUGAUCAAGAAGGAGGAGGAGGGAUGAGUGGUCUAGUGGUACCCUCGUGCCAACAGGGUUCGUGGUGGUGCAAACAUGCCAGGGGUUUGCAGAAUCCUCAGCCAUGUCCAAGUGAAUUAUGCCUGAGCCAGCCAUAGCCGGUCCUGGGGAGCACAUCACCACUGCCUUCCAAGCCUACACUGCUCUCCCAGGGUAGAACAGCCUCGUUUCUCCAUAGCAUUAAGCCCUACUGAGGGCCAGCUCUCCUGUUCUUAUAGUGUGUAAAUAGUUUAUUUAUAGGGGUAAGAGUGUUCCUUCACCAUAUCUUCAUAGCCUCUUCCGUCUGGCAUUCUUUUCUCAGCAGCCUUACCCAGUGUCUGGGACCAAGCUGUCCUUUUCAGUUCCCCGAGUGUCUUAAGAACCAGCUGUGACAGCUUCUCCCUCUGGUUCACAUCCCCUCCAUGCGCCCCUGCUUGGCUUCCCUGUCUUCUGGUCUCGGUGCUACUGAAAUGGCCACCAGAACUUGAAUCCUGACUGACCCUUUCUCCGAGGCAUGCUGGCGUCUGUCCACCUGGGGCUGGGCUACUCUCUAGUGCUUCUUUAUAACUUGUAUCUGUCCUUACCGUUCAGGGAUUGAGUACUACCUUCAGUUACUUGCCGAAGUGUACAUUCUAGUGUGGUGUAUACUGGUGAUACUGGUGGGGGUGUGUUCAUGAUGAUGAUGAUGUUAUAAUUUUCUAAAUAAUUCUCUAUAGACUAGAGGAAGAAGAAUGCUUGUGUUUUUAGGAAGUGUGCAGCUUCUCUUUGACCUGCCAAACUCUUUUAUGGAAUAUAUCUUUAUAUUAAUGCUGUUGUUUGGGUCUUUUUUUUUUUUUUCCUUUCUGGUUUGCAAUCACUAUU
rnacentral:lncRNA from 1 species